AAUGCUACUGAAUAAACAUCUUGAAUUUGAUUAUAGUAUUACUAACUAGACUGAAAAAAAGAGAGAAAGAAAAAAACACAUGAAAAUUACCAACUGCUUUUAAGGCCCUGUCUUGUUCAGGGCAAAGCAUUAAUCAAUAACAAACAGGCAGGCCAUAGAGAAAAAGGACGAUUGGCCUUUUGCAAAAAUGCUGAAUCACAGGUAUGAUUGAUAGGGUUUGUGGUUGUUUUAAUGCUCAUCCUGGUUGCGCCUCACUUUUUUAAAAAACACAGUAGUACUGGCAUCAAAACAUAUUUUUAAAAGUAAAAUGAUGUU